CCACCCCUGCCCCUCAUCUGGGCCUGCUCACAAAUUUUUAUCACUUACACACACAACAAGACAGACAAUGUGUUUUUCAAAGGCUUUUGGUCACAUUGAGUAGGAUUCUUGGCCCUGUUGCUGUUGUAUUUCUUAAAUAAAGUGUCCCGUGUGCCUUACUCAACUGUCUGUAUGUCAUUAGCUGAGGUCUGAGCCUUUCACACUGAGCCUGUAAGCACACUGGAAUUUUCCUGAUUGCAGUUUCCCCUUUUUGCAGGGCUGCUUUUAACAAUUCCAGCAAACAACCUGUUUCUGGUUCCUUUUUAAAAAUGUCACAUUUUACUCUCAGUGUGUCCACAUUUAUGCGGUUCUGUGUGUGUGUGUGUGUGUGUGUGUGGGUGUGUGGGUGGGUGGGUACAUAUAGUGUAGCAUAGUAUACAUAGAGUGUUUGCAAGUAUCCUUGAUUGCUGGGUGAUUAAAGACAUGUCAGUGUGUGGGUUUUUGUGCACAGGUGUGUGGGUGUAGAGUGAGUAUACGCUUGCAGUAAUUUGAGUGUGGUCAAGUGAGUAGGCGGAGCUUCCGUUAGUAUGUACAGAAAAGGAAAGACAAGAAGGUGAUAAAUGUUGGCUUCAACUCUUCAGUAACUGAUAGAAUGCUAUCAUUUUGCUAAAAGAAAUCAGUUGGGCCCUUUUUUAAGAUCCAGCAUUUUUGUUUUGCAGAUCCAAUCCCUGAGUCCCCGGACUUCAUGCAGGUAUAACAAGGAAAGUGGCAAGUUUUCCUCUUCAGGCUUAUCUCACCAAAGCUACGUCACCUCUCAUGCCUGCCUCAGUAUGCUGCUGGGGAGUUCUCUGCACGUGUGGAAAAACCAAAAAAAAAAAUCCCCAAAAAACAACCCCCCCCCCCCAAAAAAACCAAAAAAAAAAACUGAAAAACAUUUUUCCACUUGCGACAGUGAGUCCAGACCAAAGGGACCCCAUCUUCAAAGCUCUCACGUUGCAUUGGGGACUGUCAUAACUAAGGCACUGUCCAAAGUAUCAACACCCAUUCAUCGAUAGGAGUCCAGAGGCAGAGGAAAGCCUUGCGCUCAUCGUUUGGUUGGGGACGCGAGAUGGCCACGGGGCGGAGUCGUACUUCACAGGAAGUGUGUGGCUGACAUUCCACGGGUCUCAGAUCUUUGCCUCGUGCCAUCUGAGCUAAAAGCACACCCCUCGGUGUCUCUAAAGUUCAGGUUUUUUUGCGGUCAGGUAUGACUGCAGUGAACGGGCCUGCCAUUGUGUAUGUGUAUGUGGAGGAGUUUCUCAGGUUAGGACUGCCAUUCAACUCCAGUAUUCUUUUUUAAGUGUCUGCUGGCCAACACAACCCCUUUCCCACACACACACACACACCCAAACUCACACGUACAUUAAUCUGUUUUGUUUCUCUCCCCUCCCCUGUCUUCUUUUGUCUUUACCUCUAUAGAUUUCUCAGUCCCUCCCACGUUUUCUCUCCUGCCUUAUUUUCUUUCUUUUCAUCCUUCGUGCUCUCUCUCACUCACUCCUCAGAGUCUCAGAUUUUUAACAGAUUCGGCAAAGCGCACUACCUCACCUAAGCUUAACCCCAGUCACACUCUUCCUUAACAUUCACUGCCUAGAAGAUCAUUUUGUCUUCCUUUAUCAUAUGCAGGUCAUUGCAUUUUGCUCUUAAUUCAAAUUUCUGUCACUUAAAAAAGCAAUGUUGUUUUUAUAUGUUGAUGUUUUAUAUUUUAAUACUUAAAAAAUGUGUUAAAUGUAGAUGUCUUCCCUUUUGAAAAAGUAAUAUAUGUUUUUUUUUAGGGAUUUUGCAUAAACAAUGUAGCUACUGAAAACAUUCUGGUCAUUGAUAUAUUUUAUGACAUUUUGCAUAUGCAUGUUAAGACAUUCAAAUAUGUCUCAUAUCCCUAUACUUCACAACUCAAAGUAUGUAACUUGUUUAGUAAGGGUUUUCAAAUAUUUGUGUAUAUUUAUUAAAUUGUAAAAUUGAUCAUAUUUAUAGGUUUCCUGCCCCUAAUGGCAGCAAGAUGUAAUUACACCUUUCUUGUCUGUUGUGCCAAGGUAAUACCCUUGACACAUGAAGACACCAUUUCUGAGGGCUUAUCCAAAUUGUCAUUGACCUUCACUGAAACCGACUACCAGUCUGUCACAAUAAGUUGUGAUAUUCAUUGACAAUCAGGAGGGAUCUAGUGUAGGUGUCUCCUUAAACAAUGAGAAGAGUGCUUUAAUAAGGUUGGACAGAAGCAGAGAUGUUAGUGAGAAAUAUGCCUUUGACCUGCAGCUAAAUGCUGUGGCACUGAAUACACUGGCUACCAAUGGAGCAAUACAAGCCUGAAUGUGCAUAAUAAUAGGUGAUGUGAAAGCAUCUUGGCUGGGUUCAGUGAACUUUGAAGUUACAAGCAAGAAUUUUCUUUUUCUCCUUCACAAACCAAGUUGCCAAGUUCAGUGAUCACUACAAUUAGCCAAAAAGAAAUAGUAAAAUUAGCCAAAAUCUCAAAAAUUAGACCAAUUGAACAGUGUGUGUAUGUGUGUGUGUGUGUGUGUGUGCUCUAUCCAAUUGUACUGGUCCAGUUAAUGACUGAAAAAAAAUAGGGAAAAAACCUGCCUAUUUCUGUAAAGUCUGUAAAAAAAAUUGUAAAAAAAACUUGUUUUUUCUUGUUUCUAUUUUCUACAAUAAAUGUUUUUACAAAGGCAAUGCA